UACAGAGGGUGCAAGCGUUAAUCGGAGUUACUGGGCGUAAAGGGCGCGUAGGCGGUUGAAUAAGUGAGAUGUAAAAUCCCUGGGCUUAACCUAGGCAGGUCAUCUUAUACUAUUCGGCUAGAGUAUUGUAGAGGGUAGUGGAAUUUCCGGUGUAGCGGUGAAAUGCGUAGAGAUCGGAAGGAACACCAGUGGCGAAGGCGGCUACCUGGACAAAUACUGACGCUGAGGCGCGAAAGCGUGGGGAUCAAACAGGAUUAGAUACCCUGGUAGUCCACGCUGUAAACGAUGAGAACUAGAUGUUGGUAGGCAUGACCUAUUAGUAUCGAAGCUAACGCGAUAAGUUCUCCGCCUGGGGAGUACGACCGCAAGGUUAAA
rnacentral:rRNA from 1 species